AUCUUAGCCAAAGAGAGGUCUUUCUCCAGUGCCAUGAAAGUUUUCUACAGCCAAUCUGUCUUUCUUCUAUUCACAACAUGGGCCUUGUACUUGGUGCCAGUCAUUGGGAACAGAUUUUUCUAUUUUGGACCUUGUGUUUUUUCAGUGAACAUUAAUGAAAUUCGAGAUGGCUUUGCAACAAUUAAAGCCUUCAUUCAAGCCAGAGAUCCCAUCAGGACAACAAGCAUUCUUUCCAACCCACCUUCUUUGCAUGAUUUUCAAUCUUUAGAUAGAUGUUGCCUCAUCCAUCUCAUCUUCAAGUUCUACAUGGACAAAGUGUUCAGGCAAUGUGAGACAGAAAACCUCCACGUUAAUCGGAAAAUUAGUGGCAUAGCAAACUCCUUCCUCAGCACAGAAAAGCAACUCAGACAAUG